UACGGAGGAUCCAAGCGUUAUCCGGAUUCAUUGGGUUUAAAGGGUGCGUAGGCGGAGUGAUAAGUCAGUGGUGAAAUCCUGCAGCUUAACUGCAGAACUGCCAUUGAUACUGUCAAUCUUGAGUAUAUUUGAUGUGGGCGGAAUGUGUCAUGUAGCGGUGAAAUGCUUAGAUAUGACACAGAACACCGAUUGCGAAGGCAGCUCACAAAACUAUAACUGACGCUGAGGCACGAAAGCGUGGGUAUCAAACAGG
rnacentral:rRNA from 1 species